CAUUUGUCCCAGACAUAUUCCAUUUUUGUAAUAUUGGUUAUGAUACUUCGAAAUAAUAUAUGUAAACAACAAUCAUUUCUCUUUACAAAAGCUAAUACGAAUAUAGUGAAAUAUAAAAAUAAAAUAUAGUACUCUUUUCUACUGCUACAGCUUUUUUUUAGUAAAUGUUUGUGAUCGUGACCGCGCGCAACGCGGUCUGUAUUAUCUAAUUAUAAUAAUCAUACGCGAAAUUAGAGUCAGUGUUUGUUCGCCGAUUAUUACAUAAACGAACAUGUAGUCUUUUAUUUUUCGUUUUUUGUAUGUACAUUUUUUAAAUUUACAUUUUCGGCAUUAGAGUCAGUGCUCAACAGGAUACAAUCUCUCCACAACCUUAACAAUGUUUUCCACUACCUCGGCUUCUCCCUGUUCUCUGAAUCUGAUGGUGCUUUGAAAGCGAAGAGUGUAAUCCGAUAAUUCUUCCUCGAUGACUUCUGUUAUGACCGCUCCUGGGCUAUUGCAGCAUCGAUGACGAUGACGAAUUUCUCCGCAUUGUGAGUCGCAUAUUUUUUUUAUCCCUCCAUUCACUCAAUCAUGUCAUAGGACGAAAGGUCCGAAUCAACAUGGGUUGUAUUACGUAGAACUUUUUGCAAGCAUAAUGAUCGGGGGUAUCUUUUAUAUUUAUGAAU